GUCAGAGGUUCCAUCCAUGUUAACCAGUCAAACUGCCUCGGUCAGAGGUUCCAUGUUAACCAGUCAAACUGCCUCGGUCAGAGGUUCCAUGUUAACCAGUCAAACUGCCACGGUCAGAGGUUCCAUGUUAACCAGUCAAACUGCCACGGUCAGAGGUUCCAUGUUAACCAGUCAAACUGCCACGGUCAGAGGUUCCAUGUUAAUCAGGCAGGCAGGUAUAACAGGCAGGCAGGUAUAACAGACAGCCAGGUGUAACAGACAGGUAUAACAGACAGACAGGUGUAACAGACAGACAGGUGUAACAGACAGACAGGUGUAACAGACAGACAGGUGUAACAGACAGACAGGUGUAACAGGCAGGCAGCUAUAACAGGCAGGCAGGUAUAACAGGCAGGCAGGUGUAACAGACAGCCAGGUGUAACAGACAGCCAGGUAUAACAGACAGCCAGGUGUAACAGACAGCCAGGUGUAACAGACAGCCAGGUGUAACAGACAGUCAGGUGUAACAGACAGUCAGGUGUAACAGACAGUCAGGUGUAACAGACAGUCAGGUGUAACAGACAGGUAUAAUAGACAGCCAGGUAUAAUAGACAGCCAGGUGUAACAGACAGCCAGGUGUAACAGACAGCCAGGUAUAACAGACAGCCAGGUAUAACAGACAGCCAGGUAUAACAGACAGCCAGGUGUAACAGACAGCCAGGUGUAACAGACAGCCAGGUAUAACAGACAGCCAGGUGUAACAGACAGCCAGGUGUAACAGACAGCCAGGUGUAACAGACAGCCAGGUGUAACAGACAGCCAGGUGUAACAGACAGACAGGUGUAACAGACAGCCAGGUGUAACAGACAGACAGGUGUAACAGACAGACAGGUGUAACAGGCAGACAGGUAUAACAGACAGCCAGGUAUAACAGACAGACAGGUAUAACAGACAGACAGGUAUGACAGACAGGUGUAACAGACAGACAGACCGGUGUAACAGACAGACGGACAGGUAUAACAGACAGACAGACAGGUGUAACAGACGACAGGUAUAACAGACAGACAGAUGUAACAGACAGACAGGUAUAACAGACAGAUGUAACAGACAGACAGGUAUAACAGACAGCCAGGUGUAACAGACAGACAGGUGUAACAGACAGACAGGUGUAACAGACAGACAGAUGUAACAGACAGACAGAUGUAACAGACAGACAGGUAUAACAGACAGACAGGUAUAACAGACAGAUGUAACAGACAGACAGGUAUAACAGACAGACAGGUAUAACAGACAGACAGGUAUAACAGACAGACAGGUAUAACAGACAGAUGUAACAG